rnacentral:rRNA from 1 species
GCUGAACUUAAGCAUAUUAAUAGGCGGAGGAAAAGAAACUAACAAGGAUUCCCUUAGUAGCGGCGAGCGAACAGGGAUUAGCCCAAAACCGAAUCCUGGCCGUGCAAGCGGUUGGGAAAUGUGGUUUUUGGUUCAGUGCUUACGGCAUAGUGCAAGUGUUCAAAGUCCACGUGAUUGUGGCAUCAAUUCCAGAGAGGGUGUAAGACCCGUUUGAACACCACACUUUGUCCAGGCGUUGUUCCUAGAGUAGGGUUGCUUGGGAAUGCAGCCCGAAUCGGGUGGUAAACUCCAUCCAAGGCUAAAUACAACACGAGUCCGAUAGUAAACAAGUACCAUGAGGGAAAGUUGAAAAGAACUUUGAAGAGAGAGUUCAAUAGUACGUGAAGCCGGCAGAGUGUAAUUUGACGAGUCCCGAGGAUGGAUGCUGGAAGUUGGGCUUCGCUGUUAGACCCUGAUAGUUCGGGAUGGUUUUCCACUCGGCUGUUUGUGGUUGAGCAGUGUUGUUCUGUUUUCAGGAACCAACAUCAUGACUAGUAAAUAGAUCGGCCUACCGUUGCGGGAAAGGUAGCUUCGGAUUCUUCCUUAGCAUUAUAGUCCCGCGGUGUAGCGCCGUUCGAUUACUGGAUCGGUCAUUCUUGCUACGCAAGACAUUGUGUGGUGUCGAGGAGUUGUGGCAUAUCUUAAUAUAUGUCAUAGCUUUCUUAGCGCUGCGCGGUGAACCUGUGUGGCCGGUAUUUCGUGGUGCAACCAAGGCUCUUGUCAUCCCCGUCUUGAAACACGGACCAAGGAGUUUAGCAUGUGCGCAAGUCAAUGGAUGAUACGAAAUCCAAAGGCGCAGUGAAAGUAAAGAUCUGUUUUAUACAGGUUAAGGUAGGAUCCCGGCUUUAUUGUGUGGCAACAUACAUGGGCUGGGCGCACUACCAGCUCGUCCCAUGCUUUAUUAAGUGGGGCGAAGCAAGAGCGCACAUGCUGAGACCCGAAAGAUGGUGAACUAUGCUUGCGUAGGUUGAAGCCAGAGGAAACUCUGGUGGAGGACCGUAGCGAUUCUGACGUGCAAAUCGAUCGUCAAACGUGAGUAUAGGGGCGAAAGACUAAUCGAACCAUCUAGUAGCUGGUUCCCUCCGAAGUUUCCCUCAGGAUAGCUGGCACUCAGGAAACAAACAGUUUUAUCCGGUAAAGCGAAUGAUUAGCAGUAUUGGGGAUGAAAUAUCCUCAACUGAUUCUCAAACUUAAAAUGGGUGAGAAGCUCAACUCUCUUGAAUAGAGUUGUGCAUUGAAUGUGAGUGCCUAGUGGGCCAUUUUUGGUAAGCAGAACUGGCGCUGUGGGAUGAACCAAACGUCUGGUUAAGGAGCCAAACGUAACGCUCAUGAGAAACCACAAAAGGUGUUGGUUGAUUUUGACAGCAGGACGGUGGCCAUGGAAGUCGGAAUCCGCUAAGGAGUGUGUAACAACUCACCUGCCGAAUCAACCAGCCCUGAAAAUGGAUGGCGCUGGAGCGUUGGUCCUAUACCAGACCGUUACCGCGAACCCGUUGGAUUUAAGUGGUAACGAGUAGGAGGGCGCCGUGGCCAGCGUUGAAGCUCGGACGCGUGUCUGAGUGGAGCUGCCAUGGGAGCAGAUCUUGGUGGUAGUAGCAAAUAUUCAAGUGAGAACCUUGAAGACUGAAGUGGAGAAGGGUUC